UUUCACUUUUCUGUUCUUGUUAUCUUCGGUAUCAACAAGAAGUCAAGAGCAACACCCUCAAUGGCACGGGCAACCAUGGUACCCACCCUUUUGGUGCUGCUUCUGGCCAUUUGCUGUGCAACCACCGUCGUCCAUGGCAAGGAGUGGACCGUUGGUGACAACAAGGGAUGGAGCUUCGGCGUGUCCGGAUGGGAGAGUGGCAAGCACAUCCAGUCCGGCGACAUGCUUGUACAACCCGAGUAUGCACAAUGUGGUGCAGGUGGGAGAAGGCGACUACAACUCAUGCAGGGUCUCGGGCCCGUCGAGGACCUACACCUCUGGCAAUGACCACAUCCAGCUCUCCCGCGGAGGCAAAGCGUUCUUCAUCUGCAGCCUUCCGGGUCACUGCCAGCAAGGCAUGAAGAUCGCUGUCACUGCUUAAUAGAUCUCGCGCAUAUGCGUGUCUUUGUAUUUGUACCUUUUUACCAAGUCUUUAUGGUGUGCUAGCUCAUGAUGAAUUGGUGACAGAAGAAAUAAAUUAAUCCUAGUGUAGUGUCUGCAUCAUGUUUUCAUGGAAUCUUGAUAAACCAACAUCUAUUUGGAC